rnacentral:pre_miRNA from 1 species
CCCUUACUCAUAGCUUCCUAAGGUUCAUUUCCAUCCUGAGGGGGAAAAGAAUCAGAUGAGCUGAAGGAGAGAUAC